AAAGAUACGUUACAAGCAUAUGAAAAUCUCAAUUUUAUUAACAAGCUUAUACAAAUCAAAGCUGCGGUUUCGCUAUUUUCUGCUCUUACAAAAAUUACACUAAUCAAGAAAAUUCCAAAAGUGUCCGCUGGCGUUCGCUCCCCCGAUCCAUGUCGGUGCCAAUUCUUACAAGGUCGAACUAUGAUUUUUUUUGCUCCUGAUUGUAUUGGUCAAUAUGUAUAUUACUUUUAGGGUUUUGAUUAUCUUAGGAGCUGGUUGAGUUGUUUUGAGUGUGAAAUUACAAGUAAAGUUCGGAUCAAAGGCGUGUCGUCUGCCUUAGUUUUUCGAUUGCCGGAAGGCUGUUCAUUAAUAUACGAGUGCUUGAUUUAUAUCUUUCAAUCACAGUUGAUGAAUAACGUGUUCUAAUUUUGAAGGUGUUGGAUGUUAAUUAGUCGUUAUUAGUUUUCUAUUUGUUUAAUAUCUAAGAAUGCAACUACCGGCUAGGCUGUGUUAUGAAGUGUAGAUUUGAGUUAAUUGGAUAUAUUGAUCAUGUCGUUGUGUUGAGUUCAAUGAAAAAAUAUAAUUUGAAUACUUAUCUAUUUUUUAGUCUUCCCCCAGCUACACAGUUCCCUCUAUUCUUUCAGUAGUCCUCCACUAUUGGCAUAAGGUUUGCCAAGAACUAAUUAAAAUCAAGUUAGACAACUUGAAGGUUCUGGAUUAAAUGCAAAUGAUCAAGUGUAGGUAAAUAUCUAUUCUUUUUAUUGGAUGAUUUUAACCUAACCCCCUUUUGUUUUAGAAGAGUGCGAGGGGAGUCUUAACAAAUAUAUGACUAAUAAUUGGUUAAUUAAAGAUAACUCCAAGCCUCCUAAUUCUCUCAAUUUAGAUGACCGUUUCGUUUAUAUGCGCAGUUAAAGCUUUCGUUGUGUUUAUGUUAUCGAUUUUUGGUGUGAAUUCGGCGGGUCGUCUCCCCUUAAUUUCCGCGGUUCCCUUCGGUCCGAUCACACCCCGACCAUGCCCAUUUCGGAAGGUUUCUGAGUUUAUGACUUUUCCUAAUUCAUGGAGCUAAUAUUGCACACACUAAUGUCUUGCUGCAGUUUCAUAUUUUUUUGUGCUUUUUGAUCGUGAAUCAGUGAUGAAACAUGAUUUUAAUCUCUAUUUUUGCACUAUUUUAUUGGUUUGGUAUUGUUAUGUCUUGUUUGUUGUAGCUACACACUUGCAACUGUUUCGAUUUGCUCUUUGGUGAUUGAUCAUUUAGUAAAGCUUGGUAUAAUGGGUACUGGGUAUCCUGACUUGACUUUCAUAUACAUGCCAAUUCAUAUGACGAAGUCUGUGUUGAUACCUUGAUAAAUAUGUUUGUUUUUUGGUAUAUUAUUAUUUUAUUUUUUGCUGAAAAUUUCAACAGGGUUAUUUACUGUGAGCUAUUUUGUUUGUGUUAUAUCUAUGUACGAUGAAAGAGGGUUGUGCGGUCUACUUUAGAAUAUAAGUAAGAUGUUCAUUUAAAAAUCACCUGUGCAUAUCACAUGCUGAUGGUUAAAAUCACAUGUGCCUCUCUUAAUUAUAAAUUUACUCGGUCCUGUCUUGAGGCACAAAAAAAAUGUUGAUUUUGAUAGCUAAAUAAAACUUCCAUGUAUAUAUCGCAUGCAAUAGUGUCCAAUAGAAUUGUCUGAAUUUGCUUGUAAGACAACUAGACAAUGUUUUAAAUUUUACAGGUUGCAAUUAGUUGUAUGGUUGCCUUUUCGUUUAUGUUUUCAGGAAGUGUUUCGCUUAAUUUUCUGUGCUGAGUGGUCAUUUUAGUGGAGCUUUUGCUGGGCCUUGUGGCAAAAUUCGUGUUAGAAAACAAUAUGUUUUAUUUUUCAGGAUAGAGGUUAAUCUUAAAACUGAUUUAAUGUUUUCACUGAUGAUUAGUGAGUAGUUUAAUAAAAGUCUGAUUUUAGUAUGUAGAAAGAAGUAUUCCAGUCCAAGGUGUUUGUGAGAAUGACCCUUUGAACUUAAGCGACCAAGCUACUAGAAAUAUUGGGCGGCCUAAGGUUACCAUCAGCGAGGAUGUUUUGGAAAGGUGAAGGCUAUCUAAGCGGAGGCAAAAUACUCGGCAAACUGGCCAACAAGGUUUGUAUGCUAAGCUCGCAUAUUCUCCAGGUGAAAAUGCUGGUAUCAUUAUAAAGGUUGUCAAUCUGGAAAUGGUUUUGGUUAACCAUGUUGAUGGUACAUUUCUUGCAAAAAAUUGAGAAAUCAGAGGUCUCAUUACUUUGCUUCCCCUUCCCUCCUGCUGUCUUUAAGCCCACCAUUUUUUACAAUUUGAGGCCUAAUGGCCGCAAUUUAGUUGCAUUGUACUUAAAAUUUCUUUCUUGCAGUUUUGCAGGAUCAGGAUCCGAAGCAGGUCCGAAUAGUGGUGGGCUGUCUGUAGGUGUAUCUACUCUAUCUGUUUAAUGCAUCGUGUAUUGUAUUUUGUCUUUCUUUUGUGAUAUAUUAUUUGCAGAUGGGUGUAUGUACUGGCAUGUUAAGGAUUUGAAUUUAGUUUUGUGUCAACUACUGAGUAUACUAGAUAAAUAGAUAUGUUAAGUAAUUAAAUAGAAGGAAAGAAUAAUAGAACUAGGCCUCACCAGUUGCUUAUAACGAAUACUCUAUAAAUUUUAACUUAAAAAGUUCCUAAUUUGCAAACACCUUUCCAUGUGUUAGAUAGGUUCUCUAUGAGUUCCAAGAGAAUUGAUGGCUAUCUUACACAUAUGUGUAACCUUUUAUAGGGUUAUUAAUGGUCCUUCUUAACAGGAUUGAUGUUGUUGGCGGCCUCAAGGGCUAAGCUAGAGUAAUUAUCUGAAAUUCUUAAAAGUAAUUUUGGAUUAUUCACUAUUGGUUAACAGUCGUCGCUCAUGUAACUUGUAUAUUUGAUUGUAUUCAGUCCCUUUCUGGUCCGGUCGAUGAUCCCAUCAAGCUCCCAAAAUGGAAUUUGAUGGAUCAAGUACUGGUCAGGCACCAGGGGAUGAUAGUGAAGUGAUCGUAAAUUUAUCAGUCCUUAAGCAAUAUUUAAGGAUCCAUUCAGAAGGGGUAACCACAUAUUGGUAUACACACCAGCUGAUGAGCCAAUUCUUACAAACAACAGAUGUAAUGCGGCUAAGAUUUUCAGCUGAAGUUCCUUGGUUUGGUAUUGAGCAAGAAUACACCCUAUUGAAGAAAGAGGUCAACUUCCUGAGAAUUGUCGUGACAUUAUUAGAAAAACAUAUAUAAUAGUUGAAAAUAUACCUUCUCCAAGAGUGAUUUUCUUGAUGGUUUUAGCUCCGCCGUCUCUGGAAAUAAUCUUGUGCUCUUAAUAGCCCGAAGCAAAAACUUAAGAAUAAUGUUAUCCAUGUCAAGGAGACUUGUACACUGUUUGUGCAGAGACUGAGGACACAAGCUCAACAGUCAACAUUGACAAUGAGAUGCAUUUUUGUUUGAUGUAUUUUGCGUAUCUGCUGCAGCAUUUAGUUAAAAUGGGUUUGAUAUAGUUGAGCCUUUGAUAAAUGAGUUUGAUGAAGGUAAAAUAAGUUGUUGCAAGGGUUUAGCUGGUCAUAAUAGACGGAGAAGGAAGACGCAUCCUGAAAAUGCAGCUAAUGCAGUCAACUCGAAUGAGGAGCAGUAUUUAUAAGUCUGCUUACAAUUAUGUCCAAUGCACACUGAGCAGAAUUGGACACAUUUCUUAAAUAGUUAGCACACUGUUGAAUUUCAACUUGAUAGCACAUUGAAGAUGAACAUACAUUCUUGGCCAAUUUGAUUUGGAGAUUCUUUGUCGCGCAGGUUCAAGGGCCAUAAGACAAGGAAUUACAUAAAUUAUUAGCGGGUCGAGGUAAUCCAGAGUAAUCAUGUGACAGAUUUUGAGCUUGUGACUCUCCACCCUCAUUUCUGCUAAAGAGACAUUAACGCCGGUGGUAAUACAAGGUUUUUUCCCUUGGGAUGCUUAGAGGAAACAGAAACACCUGGUUGACAAAUUUGUAUGUUCCAAUAGGAAAAAUUACCUCUUCCAGAUACACGUAAACAAAUUUAUUAUGUCAAUGGACAGAGGAGCGCCAAUGCGACAGCCUUCAUUGCAGUCCAAUACCUUUUGAUAAAAUCAGGAUUCCAGAUUUGAGAAAAAUACAGGAUGUGGAAGAAACUGGACGAGAAUUUUACUUUUUUAACCAGAAUUACUUUGGAACAAAAAGAAGGCAGUGACGCUGAACGUAAUGGAGAGGGCGACAAAAUUACACGCAAUUGGAGUCUUCUAAAAAGCUCUCCUGAACUUGUUGCUGGACAAACCCGCAUUCUGCGGAAGGGGCACACAUAUCUUGCAUAUGCAUAUAAAGUUGCCAAACUAGGUCAGCAUUGUGCCCGGUGUUUUGAUUCCAGUUUAUAUGCCCCCCAACGAUAAAUAUUUUGUCCUAUUUAAACUGACAACUUUCACUACAUAAAUGCGGAUGAGUGUUCAGCACACUUUUGAACACAAAAUGAGAGUGGAAGACGACAUCAUUUUUGUCAAAACUGGUAUAGAUUUCAACCAACAAAUACGUUAAUCUUCUUGGGGCAGCAAUCGUUACAAUGCGAGAUCAUUAAAUACUUUCUAGAUAUGAUAGAGCUUAUUCACCUCUAAUCAUGGAAUGUGUAGACUUGCAAGUUUGUCCAAAAUAAUUUAAAAUAGUUGUGUUAUUCUUUUAUAA